UAGUCCACGCUGUAAACGAUGAGUACUAGCUGUUGGAGCCGGUGUAAAGGCUCUAGUGUCGUAGCUAACGCGUUAAGUACUCCGCCUGGGGACUACGGCCGCAAGGCUAAAACUCAAAGGAAUUGACGGGGACCCGCACAAGCGGUGGAGCAUGUGGUUUAAUUCGAUGCAACGCGAAGAACCUUACCUGGUCUUGACAUCCUGCGAACUUUCUAGAGAUAGAUUGGUGCCUUCGGGAACGCAGUGACAGGUGCUGCACGGCUAUCGUCAGCUCGUGUUGUGAAAUGUUGGGUUAAGUCCCGCAACGAGCGCAACCCCUAUUGAUAGUUACUAUCAUUAAGUUGAGUACUCUAUUGAGACUGCCGCUGACAAGGCGGAGGAAGGUGGGGACGACGUCAAGUCAUCAUGGCCCUUACGACCAGGGCUACACACGUGCUACAAUGGGUAUUACAGAGGGCUGCGAAGGUGCAAACUGGAGCUAAACUCAGAAAGGUACUCUUAGUCCGGUA
rnacentral:rRNA from 1 species